UACGGAGGAUGCAAGCGUUAUCCGGAAUGAUUGGGCGUAAAGCGUCCGCAGGUGGCUGUGUAAGUCUGCUGUCAAAGAGCGAAGCUCAACUUCGUAAAGGCAGUGGAAACUACACGGCUAGAGUGCGUUCGGGGCAGAGGGAAUUCCUGGUGUAGCGGUGAAAUGCGUAGAGAUCAGGAAGAACACCGGUGGCGAAGGCGCUCUGCUAGGCCGCAACUGUCACUGAGGGACGAAAGCUAGGGGAGCGAAUGGG
rnacentral:rRNA from 1 species